rnacentral:rRNA from 1 species
CCUACGGGAGGCAGCAGUGGGGAAUAUUGCACAAUGGGCGCAAGCCUGAUGCAGCCAUGCCGCGUGUGUGAAGAAGGCCUUCGGGUUGUAAAGCACUUUCAGCGGGGAGGAAGGCGUUAAGGUUAAUAACCUUGGCGAUUGACGUUACCCGCAGAAGAAGCACCGGCUAACUCCGUGCCAGCAGCCGCGGUAAUACGGAGGGUGCAAGCGUUAAUCGGAAUUACUGGGCGUAAAGCGCACGCAGGCGGUCUGUCAAGUCGGAUGUGAAAUCCCCGGGCUCAACCUGGGAACUGCAUUCGAAACUGGCAGGCUAGAGUCUUGUAGAGGGGGGUAGAAUUCCAGGUGUAGCGGUGAAAUGCGUAGAGAUCGGGAGGAAUACCGGGGCGAAGGCGGCCCCCUGGACAAAGACUGACGCUCAGGUGCGAAAGCGUGGGGAGCAAACAGGAUUAGAUACCCUUGUAGUC